rnacentral:rRNA from 1 species
GACGAACGCUGGCGGCGUGCUUAACACAUGCAAGUCGAACGGAAAGGCCCUGCUUUUGUGGGGUGCUCGAGUGGCGAACGGGUGAGUAAGACGUGAGUAACCUGCCCUUGACUUUGGGAUAACUUCAGGAAACUGGGGCUAAUACCGGAUAGGAGCUCCUGCUGCAUGGUGGGGGUUGGAAAGUUUCGGCGGUGGGGGAUGGACUCGCGGCUUAUCAGCUUGUUGGGGGGGUAGUGGCUUACCCAGGCUUUGACGGGGAGCCGGCCUGAGUGGGUGACCGGCCACAUUGGGACUGAGAUACGGCCCAGAAGCCUACGGGAGGCAGCAGUGGGGAAUAUUGCACAAUGGGCGGAAGCCUGAUGCAGCAACGCCGCGUGCGGGAUGACGGCCUUCGGGUUGUAGACCGCUUUCGCCUGUGACGAAGCGUGAGUGACGGUAAUGGGUAGAGAAGCACCGGCUAACUACGUG